rnacentral:rRNA from 1 species
ACGGAAGGCAGCAGUGGGGAAUUUUGCGCAAUGGGGGAAACCCUGACGCAGCAACGCCGCGUGCGGGAUGAAGGCCUUCGGGUUGUAAACCGCUUUCAGUAGGGAAGAAAUUGACGGUACCUACAGAAGAAGCUCCGGCUAACUACGUGCCAGCAGCCGCGGUAAUACGUAGGGAGCAAGCGUUAUCCGGAUUCAUUGGGCGUAAAGCGCGCGUAGGCGGCUCGGAAAGCGGAACCUUUAAUCUUGGGGCUCAACCUCAAGUCGGGUUCCGAACUUCCGGGCUCGAGUUAGGUAGAGGCAGGCGGAAUUCCCGGUGUAGCGGUGAAAUGCGCAGAUAUCGGGAAGAACACCGAUGGCGAAGGCAGCCUGCUGGGCCUUAACUGACGCUGAGGUGCGAAAGCGUGGGGAGCGAACAGGAUUAGAUACCCUGGUA